AGCGGCGGACGGGUGAGUAACGCGUGGGUAACCUGCUUCAUACAGGGGGAUAACAGUUGGAAACGGCUGCUAAUACCGCAUAAGCGCACAGUACCGCAUGGUACGGUGUGAAAAACUCCGGUGGUAUGAGAUGGACCCGCGUCUGAUUAGCUAGUUGGUGGGGUAACGGCCUACCAAGGCGACGAUCAGUAGCCGGCCUGAGAGGGUGAACGGCCACAUUGGGACUGAGACACGGCCCAA
rnacentral:rRNA from 1 species